AUGUCCUCCUGCUCCGGGAAGAAUGCAUGCCAUGGCCCGGUGGCAACCAUCACGUUGUCGUUGAGGUUGUACAGACAGAUAGUCGGAGGACCAGAGCACGUUGGAACAGUGUUGAAUGCCGUGUCGUGGAAGUCCAUGGUGUCCACGCCACUCCCUGUCGGUAACGAUUUGUGCUUUGACGAAGAACACAAUAUAGUGCAAAAGAAAACAAAACAAAGGGACAAAUUCACAUUCUAUCAAGAGAGCCUUGUUAUCAUUAACAUGAUCAGAAGGAAGAUUCAAACAUCAAAGUCAUGUCUUUACGAAAUAAAGCUCGUCGUGCCCGAACUUGUACUGCCACUUGCCGAAGCUGAUGACCCCGAGCCCUUGUCGCCGAGCUAG
rnacentral:rRNA from 1 species